GACGAACGCUGGCGGCGUGCCUAAUACAUGCAAGUAGAACGCUGAAGCCUGGUGCUUGCACCGAGCGGAUGAGUUGCGAACGGGUGAGUAACGCGUAGGUAACCUGCCUGGUAGCGGGGGAUAACUAUUGGAAACGAUAGCUAAUACCGCAUAAGAGUAGAUAUUGCAUGACAUUUGCUUAAAAGGUGCAAUUGCAUCACUACCAGAUGGACCUGCGUUGUAUUAGCUAGUUGGUGAGGUAACGGCUCACCAAGGCAACGAUACAUAGCCGACCUGAGAGGGUGAUCGGCCACACUGGGACUGAGACACGGCCCAGACUCCUACGGGAGGCAGCAGUAGGGAAUCUUCGGCAAUGGACGGAAGUCUGACCGAGCAACGCCGCGUGAGUGAAGAAGGUUUUCGGAUCGUAAAGCUCUGUUGUAAGAGAAGAACGAGUGUGAGAGUGGAAAGUUCACACUGUGACGGUAUCUUACCAGAAAGGGACGGCUAACUACGUGCCAGCAGCCGCGGUAAUACGUAGGUCCCGAGCGUUGUCCGGAUUUAUUGGGCGUAAAGCGAGCGCAGGCGGUCAGAUAAGUCUGAAGUUAAAGGCUGUGGCUUAACCAUAGUACGCUUUGGAAACUGUUUAACUUGAGUGCAAGAGGGGAGAGUGGAAUUCCAUGUGUAGCGGUGAAAUGCGUAGAUAUAUGGAGGAACACCGGUGGCGAAAGCGGCUCUCUGGCUUGUAACUGACGCUGAGGCUCGAAAGCGUGGGGAGCAAACAGG
rnacentral:rRNA from 1 species